UUAGGAAACAAAUGAGAAGGCAAGAACAUAGAAGACCAGAUUGAAAAUUCUGGAAGCAAUCUAAGGCAGGAAAUGUCUCACUCUGGACACAAACCUUACAAGCAUGAGGAAUAUGAAGAGGAUCUAUGUGAAUUUAAUCACUACAGGAAAUCACUGCCUUCUCUGGAAACUGUUUCCUCCCAAAUGUUAAUACAAACUGGAAAUGAACCUUUUAAAAGUGCAGUAUGUGGGAAAGUCUUCAGUUGUUCCAGUUCCAUUCAAAGGCAUGAAGAAACUCAUACUGGGCACAAACCCUAUGACUGUAUACAGUGUGGUGAAACCCUUUUGUCUCUGACAGGUGUUCAAAGACACAUGAUAAUACACAGUGGAAAUUAACCUUUUAAAUAUAAGGUAUGUGGGAAAACCAUUCCCUAUCAUAGUUUAUUUAGAAUACAUCAAAGAACACAUACUGUAGAGAAACCCUAUGAAUGUAAAUACUGUGCUCAAACCUUUAUUUCACUCCCAAGUCUUCAAAGGCACAUAGUCAUGCACACUGGGAAUACACCUUUUAUACAUAAAGUAUGUGGUAAAUACUUUGUUUAUCCCAGUUUUUUAAAAAAUGCAUCAAAGAACACAUACUGGAGAGAAACCCUAUCAAUGUGAAUGAUGUGGGAAAGACUUCACACAUCAAAAUUCUUUUAUAAGACUUCGAAGAGCUCAUACAGAGCAGAAGUUCUAUGAAUGUAAACAAUGUGGAAAAGCCUUCACUGGUUCCUCUUCCCUUCAGAUCCAUACAUCAGCUGAAACUGUGGAGAAGCCCUAUGUAUUCAAAGAAUGUGUGAGAGCGUUCACUCAUUCCUGUCACCUUCAAAUACAUGAACAAACUCAUACUGGAGAGAAGUCAUAUAAAUGUGAACAAUGUGGAAAAGUUUUCACUCGUUCCCCUCAACUUCAAAUACAUGAAUGAACUCAUACUGGCGAGAAACCCUAUGAAUGUGAACAAUGUGGGAAAGCCUUUACUACUUCCACUCAACUUCAACUACAUGAACACACUCAUACUGGAGAGAAACCUUAUAAAUGUGAACAAUUUGGAAUAGCUUUCACUCAUUUCUCUUACUUUCACAUAUAUAAACAAACUCAUACCAAAGAAAAUCCCCAUGAAUGAGAACAAUGUGGGAAAGUCUUCAUGAGUUCCUCUGUACUUCAAACACAUAAACUCAUCCUGAAGAGAAACCCUAUAAAUGUGAAGAAUGUGAAAAAGCUUACAUUUGUUCCUCUUACCUUCAGAUGCAUAAGCAAACUCAUACUGGAGAGAAACCCUAAUUAUGUGACCAAUGUGGGAAAGCCUUCACUAGUUCCUUUAUACUUCAAAAACAUAAAUGACCUCACUGGAUAAAAAUCUAUAAAUGAGAACAAUGUGGGAAAGCCUUCACUAGUUCCUCUCACCUUCACUCACAUAAACGAUCUCACACUGGAGAAAAGCCCUAUAAAUGUAAUCAAUGUGUGAAAGCCUUCACUACUUCCACUUAACUUCAGUUACAUGAAUGAACUCAUACUGGAGAGAGGCCCUAUGAAUGUAAACAAUGUGGGAAAGCCUUUACUCCGUGCUCUAACCUUCACUCACAUGAACGAACUCAUUUUGGACAGAAGCCCUGUGAAUAUAAACAAAGUGGUAAAGGCUUUGCUAGAUCUAGUCAGUUUCACUUACACAAAUGAACUCAUAUUAGAGAGAAAUUCUACUAAUGAAAACAAGAGGCAAACAUUUUAUUACCAUUUUACUCCUAAAUAGUAAGAACUGUACUGAAGAAAAUUCCUUUGAAUGUAAAAUGUGGUAAAUGAAUAUUCCUUAUCAGUUACAAAGACAUGAAUGGUCUCAUACUGCAGAACAACUUUUUGUUGUUCUGAGGAUUUAGUACGGGGGUGCUCAACCAUUAAGCUACAAUCCCUGUCCUUUUCAUUUUUAUAUGGAGACAGACUUGCUAAGUUGCUUAGGGCUUUGCUAAGUUACUGAGGCUGGAGUCAAAAUUGUGAUUUUUUCCUGAGUCACUGGGAUUACAGGUAUGCAGUACCCCAUCUGACUGAAUAAAAUUUUGAAUGUAAAAAAUAUGGCAAAUCAUUCUGUUUUUCCAAUUGCCUUCAAAGGAACUUCAUUGAGACUGAAAAACAAACACUCUGUGUGAUGUUUCAUUUUUCUUGUCAUCUAUGGAAGUCAUUGUGGAGAGAAGCCCUGUGAAUGUGAGAAAUGUGGGAAAUGAAACCUUCCAGUUUUCCCAGUUUCUUCCAAGGACUGGGAAGAUUCAUGUUGAAAGAUUUAUGU